UGUGUGUGUGUGUGUGUGUGUGUGUGUGUGUGUGAGAGAGAGAGAGAGAGAGUGUGUGUGAUGGUUGGAGAGGUGAACUGUCCAUCAUUUGCAUGCACGGACACUUCCUCACUGGCUCCAGACUGAAUCAAUGACAGGACCAAAGCUUAUCCAGUUCAUCGUUAUUCAGGUGUGUAAGCGCAUAUAAGUUGCAUCAUCUCUCCAGGAGCAGUCACAUAGCCUCCGAAACAGCCUCAGAUCUCCUCAGCAGGCAUUCGACACGUCUCUGAAACCGUACUGGAACGCCGUUCUCCCGGAAGAUGUUCCCUCGGAUGGUGGUGCCGACUGCUCGGUGCUCGGCCUCCUUUCAGAAUCUCUUGACUAAGACUACGCUCUCUAAUACCACCCCAAUUCCAAAAAAGGGAAAUUAAGGUCAUUUGGAAUUUCAUGGCCGCAACACGUCUCGGAAAAGUUGGGACGGGGGCAACGAAAUGCUGGAAAAGUACGCUUAAGUGUUACUAAAAAGAAACAGCUGGAGGUUCAUUGGCAACAGGGAAAACCUACUCGGGAACUGAGGAUGGUGUCCAGGAAGUGACAUGAAAUCAAAAUGGCUGCUCACAGUCAUCAUGAACAGUAAACAAAGUAGCACUUCUUUACCUUAAAAUGAGUUAUUGCGUGUGUGUGUGUGUGUGUGUGUGUGUGUGUGUGUGUACGUAAGUAUUUGCUUUAGAUCAAUCAAAAUGUAUUGACAUAUUGGCUUGUUUAAAUCUAUAACAUUUUAACUAUAACUUUGCUGUUUUGAGGAGGUAAAUAUACAUCACUCAUCACAGCUAGAGCGCUGGGUUGUUGCUAACUAGAGGCAGAUACGGAGACGGCGAAGGGUUUUCCUACUUUGCUGCUUGAAAAUGACACGUCCUGAGUUACCACUUCCGAGACAUUAAUAACAAGAAAUCUAGCCAAAAGAACUGACUGGAUGAAUUAGCGAUUACUCCCACACCAACGUUAGCAUGAACAGAGAUCAGUUGUGCGAAGAGACGACAACGAGGCUAGUGCUCACGGCCUCAUGUGACUUUUACCUCAGGCGAUGAGACGGAAACUGAUGAGGACGACGCUGAUGAUCAAAGUCGGAUCUCAUUUCACGUUGGAAACGUGUAAUUCGUUAAACCUUUUUAAAAAAAAGUGAAGGUUUUUUUUUUUUUCUUCAGUAAGUAAAGUAGAAUUGGAAUGAAAUAUUGGUGUGAUUUUCUUUAUUGGCACUAUUAUGGUCGAGAAACAACACGAUGCAAAACAUAUUCCAGUCAAGGUCUCGUCUAUAGUUUUCUGAACUGUAUGUCUUUAUCCUAAGUACUUUUAUCAAAUGGACAAGAGGCUGUCAGAAUAAAAUUACUGACUCAGAAGCUAUUCACAUUUUUAAUAUUUUGAUAUAAUGUUAUUUUGAUAAAUAAAAAUGACACGUCUCCUAAGCUUAUCGGCUAAAUGAUCUCCGAAUGGGUUAGAGUGGGGUCGUUUUCUUAUUCAUUAUGAACCAAAAAAAACAAACAAACUAUGUGGAAGUAGGUAACAGUUUACAACAUGGAUUCAUUGGAGACAAUACAGUAUUUCUGUGUCAUUUUAUUGGGCAUAAAGGGCAUUAUGUUACGUAUUUAUCCAUAACUAAUCCUAACCCUAACCCUGUAGUUUUGAUGUUGCUUCCGGUUAUUAUUUGCUUAAGAAAAGCCAUAUGAUUUUGAACUUUUAGACUAAAAUGAACGAAUAGUGCGGUGCUGCUGCUAACAUCCGCUUCUUCUGUGGCAGUACUGUAGUACAUCAUAGCCUCGUUGAUAUUCAAAUGCGUUCAAAGCACAAAAUCUUCUAAUUAAUUCUCAUUCAAAUGCGAAGGAAUUCAACAGGCCUAAUACGAACAGGCAUAUCACACAGAUCUACACUUUUUCCAUAGGAUUUUUCAUUUCUUUACUGUGUCUAAUGUGAUGAAGCAAGUUCACCCUCCCAUGCGUACACACACACACAUACUUGACAACACUAUUUUAGCAAUAAUGUGAUUGUGUUUGUUUAUUUGAUUAAAUAAGCGAGUACACACAAAGCCCACGGUGUGUCACGGCUCUCGGGUUUCUAAGCCGUGUGAGCACGUGAGACCAGGAAGUACAACCUCUACACGUGUUAUAACGACUCAUCUGUUUCAUUUACUCGAAGUACUUUGACUGGAAGUAUUGCUGGUAACUCAAAGUUUGAUCUUCUUGAAGGCACUAAUUGUUGCCUUUUGAGAUUUACUAAUGGCAUAAUUAAAUACAUAAAAUGUGAUUCAUUAUAUAUUUCUAUCCCACACUCGGAUAAAAUCUUAUCGCCCUGUUCUAAGACCCAGCAUUAGCAUGUGCAGCAAUAUAGCACAAGCAAAUAAAUAUUUCUGCUUUUGCUGGCAUCACUUAAGGCAUUUUUUUUUUGUGUGUCCCUGAAGGAUAACUUCAUGCAUUAUUGAAGCAGUGCGUCCCAGACAGCAGAGUAAGACCGAGAUCUCCCUGAUCAUAUUGUGUGUGUGUGUGUGUGUUAUCAAAUUUCUUUGUCGUUGUAUUGAACAAACAGACAGUGUUCUGAGUGAAGAUGCAAACAUAAGAAUUUACACUAUAGAUUUCUUUUUUUUUCAGCUAGUCACACACUUGAUUACUAUAAGGAGCGGGAACAAGGGAGAUUUUCCAGUUUGUGUAGAACGAGUCAACCAAAAAGAACACACACAAUUACAAUACACACACCGGGAUCUUUUUUAUUUUUUAUUUUUUUUUAAAGUGUGUACUGUAGUGUUAUUAGUUCACUUACUUCUUCCUUAUUCUUACAUCCUGCCCUUGGUUACAAUAUCUGUGUUAAACGUAAAGACGGAACGUCUUUACUGAACAAGUUCAGUGCGACAUGGACGUUACAAAAGACAAAAUGAGCCAAACGGAUUCCUUCAACGACCAGAUGAUUUGGAUCAGUGAAUCAGUUUAAAAGGCAAACGAUUGAAAUGAAUCGAAGAGACGAUCAUAAUUCAAUCGGGCUGACAGCCGGUGUGUAAAGCAUCAUUUGUAGUUUUAAACUGGUGUGUAAGCAGCCUAGUAUGGUGAUAUGUGUCAUCAUUAUUUGCGACCUUACAGUUCCCCAGAUUCUGAACAAAAUUGCUCAUAUAUUGAUCAGAAUCCAAUAAAUUGAAUCAUUUCAGUGGUAUCAUCAAAAAGUGAAUCACGGCUGAGUUUUACAUAUCUACCUUUUCAGUCCUAGUGAUUCGAUGAGCUGUGGUUAAUGGCAAGCCUGACAAUAACUGUGUGUUCAGUACAGAAGUAUUUCUUAGUAUUUAUUCUUAAGCGUCCAGUCUGUGAACAAGAACAUAGCAACAAGCCAAGUUUGUUUCUAUAGUAACAAGUUCACAGCAACCUGGAAGUCUAAUUAAUACAAAGUCAAAUCCAGAAAUGCAAACGGAUUCCUUCUUUGCUAGUAAUUCGACGAGUCGAGAGAUCGUCCGUCAUUAUUCAGGUCUGCACUUUGUACCCUGAGCCGAACUCGUUGGUGGAGCUGCUAAGAUCGUCUCGGUCGUCUCUUUCUGUAGCCACGAAGCAGUCAUGUCAUGUACAAUCUGGUAACAAAAGCAAUGGAAGCGUUUCUAAAGAAAGCUGUAGCGCAUGUAUGGAAUCAUCGAUGAGUCUGGAUUUUUGCGCAUGAUUAAGUAUUCUCGAGUACUGAUGCAGUCAACCAUCUCAUCACUACUUCAGCAACAAGGUUAUAACAAGGCCU